UGCUGCAACAUGGCCUGGAACUCCGAGUCAUAGCGCUGGUUGAUGUCGUCCCCAAUGAUAGCGAGCUGCCGACCCACCUGCCCCAUGGUGCUGGAGGAAUGGGAGCCAGUUUAUAGGCCUCAGGGGGUACCCUUUCAAGGCGAGGGGACCUGUGUACAGCCCACCGGUGCUCUCCCCAUUCCUGCCUGCAGUGAGCUGAGGAAGCCUUCUCUGCGGCUCCCCCCCCCCCCCACAGGGGCCACUUUGUCCAAGCAUUGGAGGUGGAACAAGCAUGCCCACAGAGGUCUGUGGGGCCACUGGAGGUCUGCCCCAAGACCUUCACCAGGGAGGAGAAGGAGUGUCUGCUUGACGGAGACCUCAGGCUGGCCUCUUCGAAGGUCGGGGCAACUCCUUGGAACUGACUCCUCACCUUGUACAAGCAGCUUCAGAAAUCAGCCAUGGCCAAAGUUUCCUCUCAAGGAAAGCUUGUCUGAUGAGGAGAAAGGCAAGGAAGAGGAAAUGGAGGAAGAUGACAGCUCCUUCAAGCUCUGUGUCCCAGGCAUUGUCCCCCUGCAGUCACCGCUGCCUAAGACUUUUAGAUCAACCGAUACAGUGGGUUUCGUGGAGUCGGAGUUAAAGAACCUUCUGAUAGUUCAACGGGAGUCCGGUCUCUGGAAGAUGGGCAGCCAUGAGGGCCGAGAGCUGCUGACCCAGCCAGAGAUCACCCUGGAGGAGGGACACCAAGCUGAGGGGGAAGGAAGCCACCCACCAGCCUUUGGGGAAAUGCUGGGGACCUAGGGGAGGGGCGCUGAGGCAGCUGAAACACCACUCUAGGCUGGAGGGAAGGGUGCAGAGUCCCCGUGGUGUGGUAUCCAGGACAGAGCACUUGCUCCUGGAGGAGAUGGACGAGAUGGGAAACCGGUCCCCAGAGUGAAGCUGGUGUUGGCCCGAGUCUGCUUGCUCCCAGGUCCCUUCAGCCCCAGUAGAAGUUUAGCCUCUCUCAUGAGGGCACACCCGAGGCGCCCCUGGGGCCAAGGGGUCUUAAGAUCAAUGGUAUUCAUGCGUCUGCAGGGUGAGCUGCCCAGCAGUGUCUCCACUCACCAGACUCAGGCCUGUGCUAUUAUUAAUAAAACCCUCUUUGACUUUG